GGUAGUAUAACAAUAUCCGUGUUGUUAUAGUACC
rnacentral:misc_RNA from 1 species